ensembl:snoRNA SNORA74 Small nucleolar RNA SNORA74
GCCAGCUGCAGGCACCUGCCCAGGUUAUAGUAUACCUAGGCAAGUGUUACACCACUGGCAGAAAAGCAGCCAACAGCUCGUGGGCAUUACGGGCCUGGUUAAUGCCAAAUUU